GAUGAAGAACGCAGCGAAAUGCGAUAAGUAAUGUGAAUUGCAGAAUUCAGUGAAUCAUCGAAUCUUUGAACGCACAUUGCGCCCCCUGGUAUUCCGGGGGGCAUGCCUGUUCGAGCGUCAUUUCACCACUCAAGCCUCGCUUGGUAUUGGGCAACGCGGUCCGCCGCGUGCCUCAAAUCGACCGGCUGGGUCUUCUGUCCCCUAAGCGUUGUGGAGACUAUUCGCUAAAGGGUGUUCGGGAGGCUACGCCGUAAAACAACCCCAUUUCUAAGGUUGACCUCGGAUCAGGUAGGGAUACCCGCUGAACUUAAGCAUAUCAAUAAGCGGAGGA
rnacentral:misc_RNA from 1 species